GACGAACGCUGGCGGCGUGCUUAACACAUGCAAGUCGAACGGAAAGGCCCUGCUUUUGUGGGGUGCUCGAGUGGCGAACGGGUGAGUAACACGUGAGUAACCUGCCCUUGACUUUGGGAUAACUUCAGGAAACUGGGGCUAAUACCGGAUAGGAGCUCCUGCUGCAUGGUGGGGGUUGGAAAGUUUCGGCGGUUGGGGAUGGACUCGCGGCUUAUCAGCUUGUUGGUGGGGUAGUGGCUUACCAAGGCUUUGACGGGUAGCCGGCCUGAGAGGGUGACCGGCCACAUUGGGUCUGAGAUACGGCCCAGACUCCUACGGGAGGCAGCAGUGGGGAAUAUUGCACAAUGGGCGGAAGCCUGAUGCAGCAACGCCGCGUGCGGGAUGAAGGCCUUCGGGUUGUAAACCGCUUUCGCCUGUGACGAAGCGUGAGUGACGGUAAUGGGUAAAGAAGCACCGGCUAACUACGUG
rnacentral:rRNA from 1 species